rnacentral:rRNA from 1 species
AGAGCAUCGGGUGGAUGCCUUGGCACUGGGAGCCGAAGAAGGACGUGAUAAGCUGCGAUAAGCUGCGGUAAGGAGCACAUAUCCGAUAUACCCGCAGAUUUCCGAAUGGGGGAACCCACAUACGGUAAUGCGUAUGUAUCAUUAAGUUAAUACAUAGCUUAAUGAAGGGAACGGGGUGAACUGAAACAUCUAAGUAGCCCUAGGAAGAGAAAGAAAAAUCGAUUUCCUGAGUAGCGGCGAGCGAAAGGGAAAGAGGCCAAACCAAAUUGUUUACAGUUUGGGGUUGUGGACCACCGACAUUGACGAAGUUAUGCGAGCCGAAUAGGGUUGGAAAGCUCAAGCAGAGAAGGUAAUACUCCUGUAGGCGAAGCAGAAAGCGCAUAGGUGGCACCAGAGUAGGACCGGACACGUGUAACCCGGUCUGAAGCAGGAGGGACCACCCUCCAAGCCUAAAUACUACCCAGUGACCGAUAGCGAAUAGUACCGUGAGGGAAAGGUGAAAAGAACCCCGGGAGGGGAGUGAAAUAGAAUCUGAAACCUGAUGCUUACAAGCAUAGGGAGCGCAAGUGACCUAGUACUUUUUGUAGAACGGGCCAACGAGUUAUGGUAUGUAGCGAGGUUAAGUUGCUGGAGCAACGGAGCCGUAGAGAAAUCGAGUCUGAAUAGGGCGAGAGUUACAUGCUGUAGACCCGAAACCGGGUGACCUAUCCAUGAGCAGGUUGAAGUAACCGUAAAAGGUUAUGGAGGACCGAACCUAUAUCUGUUGAAAAAGGUUAGGAUGACUUGUGGAUAGCGGUGAAAUUCCAAUCGAACUCGGAUAUAGCUGGUUCUCCUCGAAAUAGCUUUAGGGCUAGCCUCAAGGUAAAGAUACACGGGGGUAGAGCACUGACUGUUCGCGGGGCCUUCACCGGUUACCAACAACUAUCAAACUCCGAAUACCGUGCUAUCAUACUUGGGAGUCAGACUAUGAGAGAUAAGUUCCAUGGUCGAAAGGGAAACAGCCCAGAUCAACAGCUAAGGUCCCAAAGAGUAAGUUAAGUGGAAAAGGAUGUGGGAUUGCACAAACAGCUAGGAUGUUGGCUUAGAAGCAGCCAUACAUUUAAAGAGUGCGUAAUAGCUCACUAGUCGAGUGAUCCUGCGCCGAAGAUAAACGGGGCUCAAACUUACCACCGAAGCUUUGGAAUUAGUAUAACUAAUUGGUAGAGGAGCAUUCUAUACAGGUAGAAGGAGGCGCGUAAGCAAAUCUGGACGGUAUAGAAGAGAGAAUGUUGGCAUGAGUAGCGUAAGGCGGGUGAGAAUCCCGUCCGCCGAAAAUCUAAGGUUUCCUGAGGAAGGUUCGUCCUCUCAGGGUAAGUCGGGACCUAAGCCGAGAGCGAACGCUGUAGGCGAUGGACAACAGGUUGAUAUUCCUGUACCACCAAGGAUUGUUUGAAUGAAGUGGGGACACAGAAGGAUAGAUUGAGCACGCCGUUGGUUGAGCGUGUCCAAGCAGCAAGGCUUGAAAGUAGGCAAAUCCGCUUUCUACAAGGCUGAGCUGUGAUGGGGUGGUCGAAUGACCGGUAGCAAUCGAUUUCACGCUGUCAAGAAAAGCCGCUAAUGAGAUCCAAGGUGCCCGUACCGCAAACCGACACAGGUAGAUGAGGAGAGAAUCCUAAGGUGAGCGAGCGAACUAUUGUUAAGGAACUCGGCAAAAUAACCCCGUAACUUCGGGAGAAGGGGUGCCUGCUUCGGCAGGCCGCAGUGAAGAGGUCCAGGCAACUGUUUACCAAAAACACAGGUCUCUGCUAAAGCGAAAGCUGAUGUAUAGGGGCUGACGCCUGCCCGGUGCUGGAAGGUUAAGGGGAAGUGUUAGGGCAACCGAAGCACAGAACUUAAGCCCCAGUAAACGGCGGCCGUAACUAUAACGGUCCUAAGGUAGCGAAAUUCCUUGUCGGGUAAGUUCCGACCCGCACGAAAGGCGUAAUGAUCUGGACACUGUCUCAACAAUAGGCUCGGUGAAAUUGUAGUACCGGUAAAGAUGCCGGUUACCCGCAGCAGGACGGAAAGACCCCGUGGAGCUUCACUGUAGCUUGAUAUUGAUUUUCGGCAUUGCAUGUACAGGAUAGGUGGGAGACGUUGAGUUCAGCACGCCAGUGUUGGAGGAGUCACCGUUGGGAUACCACCCUUGUAAUGUUGGAAAUCUAACCUAGUACCGUGAUCCGGUACAGGGACAGUGUCAGGUGGGCAGUUUGACUGGGGCGGUCGCCUCCUAAAGAGUAACGGAGGCGCCCAAAGG